rnacentral:rRNA from 1 species
AGAGUUUGAUCAUGGCUCAGAUUGAACGCUGGCGGCAUGCUUUACACAUGCAAGUCGAGCGGCAGCGCGGGGGCAACCCUGGCGGCGAGCGGCGGACGGGUGAGUAAUGCAUCGGAACGUAUCCCGUAGUGGGGGACAACCCAGCGAAAGCUGGGCUAAUACCGCAUAUGCUCUACGGAGGAAAGCGGGGGACUUCGCAAGGAGCCUCGCGCUAUGGGAGCGGCCGAUGUCCGAUUAGCUAGUUGGUGGGGUAAAGGCCUACCAAGGCGACGAUCGGUAGCUGGUCUGAGAGGAUGAUCAGCCACACUGGGACUGAGACACGGCCCAGACUCCUACGGGAGGCAGCAGUGGGGAAUUUUGGACAAUGGGGGCAACCCUGAUCCAGCCAUGCCGCGUGCGGGAAGAAGGCCUUCGGGUUGUAAACCGCUUUUGGUCGGGAAGAAAGGGCUCCCCUAAAUACGGGGGGUUGUUGACGGUACCGGCAGAAUAAGCACCGGCUAACUACGUGCCAGCAGCCGCGGUAAUACGUAGGGUGCGAGCGUUAAUCGGAAUUACUGGGCGUAAAGCGUGCGCAGGCGGUGAGUUGUGUCUGCUGUGAAAGCCCCGGGCUCAACCUGGGAAUGGCAGUGGAAACUGGCUCGCUGGAGUGUGGCAGAGGGGGGUGGAAUUCCGCGUGUAGCAGUGAAAUGCGUAGAGAUGCGGAGGAACACCGAUGGCGAAGGCAGCCCCCUGGGCCAACACUGACGCUCAGGCACGAAAGCGUGGGGAGCAAACAGGAUUAGAUACCCUAGUAGUCC